CUUGGCCGCUUCGACCACGUUCGAGAUCGUCGAGACGAUUACGUUGUCUUUGCCGAUGAGCGAUUUGAAAAUCGGCGGCGUCGAAACUCCAUCGUUCUCUUCGAAAUCGAAAGACAAGUGUCGUCACUAAGUACUCUCGA